AUGAACGACACAGUAACUAUCCACACUAGAAAGUUCAUGACCAACUGACUACUUCAGAGGAAACAAAUGGUCAUUGUCCUUUACCCCGGGAAGGCAACAGUGCCUAAGACAGAAAUUUGGGAAAAACUAGCCAAAAUGUACAAGACCACGCCGGAUGUCAUCUUUGUAUUUGGAUUCAGAACUCAUUUUGGUGGUGGCAAGACAACUGGCUUUGGCAUGAUUUAUGAUUCCCUGGAUUAUGCAAAGAAAAAUGAACCCAAACAUAGACUUGCAAGACAUGGCCUGUAUGAGAAGAAAAAGACCUCAAGAAAGCAACGAAAGGAAUGCAAGAACAGAAUGAAGAAAGUCAGGGGGACCGCAAAGGCCAAUGUUGGUGCUGGCAAAAAGUGACCUGGAGAUUGGAUCACAGCCAAAGG